UGGGUGGAGGCGUUCAUCUCCACGCUCUGGCACCAUCUCAGGAUUGAAUCCUCUCCUCGUUGUCGUCCAGAAGGUGGCUAGGCAGGGGCUCGUGGAUCCGAGGCGAUUUGUGGUUGCUGAUUUGUGCGUUCAGAGCUGGUUAAGCUGAGAAGAAGGGAGGGGCAAAGCCUGCAGGUGAUGGAAUAUAUCAAGAACAGAACUACUGAUGAGCUUUGAGAUCACAUGGGAAGUUUGAACCAGCGUACUUGUCCGAGACCAGUUCAAGACGUACAUACAAAUACGGAUACCAUCCUUUUCCUUGGGCUGGAGUAACAUGAUUUAUCUCAUCUAAGGUUGGUAAAGAUGGUUCAAAGUCCACACGCAAAUCUCACACAUCCGAGACAUGUUGAAUUCAGAGCUCCAGGCAGAUUCAAAGGCUAUUCUAACAAGUAGGAUUAAGUACCUUCACUAAAUCUGAUAAUCCCA